rnacentral:rRNA from 1 species
UCGACCUGAGCUCAGGCAAGACUACCCGCUGAACUUAAGCAUAUCACUUGAUGUGCUUGUGGGCUGGAAACAGCCUGCAAGUCGGCCCCACCCGUUACUGGUAAGGGUUGGAGUCCGGCGACACCGUCGAACUGCGGGAACAUCCUUAGAGCCAGUGCUACCAAGCCGGCGUGGAAACACAGUCGUGGCCAGGGUAAUGACCGUCCGGGUACGGUAAAAACGCACUGGAUGGAACAUCGCAGCCCAAGCUUCCUAACCGGCUUCCACCGAAAGCCAAUGGAGAAGGUUUCAAACCGAACUAGUGGGCCGCU